AGCCCUACGGGGUGCAGCAGUUAGGAAUUUUCUGCAAUGUACGAAAGUAUGACAGAUUGAGUCAGAGUGCUUUUCAUAUGAAAAGCUUUUGCCAAAUGUAAAAAGUUUGGCGAAUAAGGACUGGGUAAGACGAGUGCCAGCCGCCGCGGUAAUACUCGCGGUCCAAGUCGCAGCCAUCAUUAUUGGGUCUAAAACAUCCGUAGCUUGCUUAAUAAGUUUCUUGUGAAAUUCCAUGUCUCAAAUAUGGAGCGGGCAAGAAGUACUGUUAAGCUAGAGACUGGAAGACGUAAGAAGUACGUUUGGAGUAGCGGUAAAAUGUGUUAAUCCCAGACGGACUAACAACAGCGAAGGCAUCUUACGAGGACAGUUCUGACAGUAAGGGAUGAAGGCUAGGGGCGCAAAAGGGAUUAGAUACCCCUGUAGUCCUAGCAGUAAACACUGCACACUAAACAUUAGUACCUCCUCGAGAGGUGUUAGUGCUGAAGAGAAGUCGAAGAGUGUGCUACCUGGGAAGUAUAGUCGCAAGGCUGAAACUUAGAGGAAUUGGCGGGGAGACACUACAACGGGUGACGCGUGCGGUUCAAUUAGAUUCUACACCGUGAACCUCAC
rnacentral:rRNA from 1 species